UACAGAGACUGCAAGCGUUGUUCGGAUUCACUGGGCGUAAAGGGUGCGUAGGUGGUCGGGUAAGUUUAAGGUGAAAGCUCCGGGCUCAACCCGGAAAUGGCCUUGAAUACUAUCCGGCUCGAGGGUUGGAGGGGGGACUGGAAUUCUCGGUGUAGCAGUGAAAUGCGUAGAUAUCGAGAGGAACACCAGUGGCGAAGGCGAGUCCCUGGACAACACCUGACACUGAGGCACGAAAGCUAGGGGAGCAAACGGG
rnacentral:rRNA from 1 species